GGGGAAAAUGCUAGGAAACAAACCAAGGAAGUGAGUGGGAGGUAGAUCAUAUAAAGCUUCAAGAUCAUCAUCAGAACUUUGGAAUAAACAAGGGAGAUGGAAAGCUACUGGCAUGCUUUGAGCAAAGGAGGAACAUAAUCUGAAUUAAGUUUUAAGUUUCAUCACGUUGAUAGGUUGAACUGUAGGAGCCCACAGGUGAAAGCAAGAAAACCAGUUAGAAAUGCUUGUAACUUAUGUCUAGGUUGAGAGUGACAGAGAUUGGCUGGUUGUUUAUCAAACCCAUUUUCUCUUUCUCCUAGACACAGCUGGAUUAUUUCUCAGAUGUCUUUAUAGUCAGAUAUGACUAUCUGACUGAGCACUGGCUGAUAUUAUACAAGUAGAAGUAAUGUAUGCCACUUCUAGGCCUGGUCCACAAAACUUCUGAUGUGCAACCCACCGUGCUCUGCUCUUUUCUUUCUGCAGCUUUAGAUGCUAACAUUGAAGAUGCACAACCAUGAGGAUGUAGGAGACUGGAUCCCUGAAUCACUGCUUGGAUGAUAGCAGCAAGCUUCUUUGGCGUUAAACAACUUAGAUAUUCUGAUAAAGCAUCUACUGUUGCCUUAAUUAAGGAGAGAUGGAUAAUAUUUUCUUGGAUGAAAGUGAUAGAGGUGAGGAUGAAGAGAAGUGGUCAGAUUCUACAUACAAUUAUCAGAGAAACAGGAGUUCCUGAGAAUAUGGAUAUGAUGAGAAGUGACUCAGGGGAAGGAUGAUGUCAAGCUGUUGUCAAGCCAAUUGCAUGGAAAGAGAAGAAUUAACGUGUUCUCCCUUCAAAAUGAUGGAUUCCAUGGCUCCACAUUCAUCAUCUGGCUCAUGAUUACCAACUCUUUGCAGUCCAUUGCAGGGUGACCUCGUUAGCACUAUCUGUGCACUUUCUGUGAUAGCGGGCUGCCUGGAGGCCCUGCAUGUGUGGUUCGGGUUAAUGAGGGUCUGAGUCAUCAAGUUAGAAACUCACCUUUCCAGCCAUCAGAUCCAGAAAUGCUAGAAAAAGGCACAGGGCUCAUAAUCAGACAUGCCAUGUUGACGAAAGAGUAAUGUCUCAUCCUGGUGAGAUCGUCCACAGGACCUGUGCUGAAUAAUUGUCAGGCAGCCAUGAGACCACAGUAAGCUCCCAUACUAUCUAGAGGUCAAUUUAUCAUCCAAGAUGGCCUGCUUUGCAGAUUGCUGCAUGCAUACCCUCUGCAGCACCAGGUAGCAGGCAGCAGGAGAGGUAGCCCCACAAUAACACAGCAUGUGUCCCUAGAGCAUCUUCUUAUUGAAAUGGGAGAUUUAAAACCUUUUAAAGAAAACUAAUGGUCCUGUUUGCUGUCUAAGGAUAAAGACGAGUACAUUUUAAUGGUGAAAUAAAGAAACUUCAAAUAAAUUUUUCACUUGAAGCUGGCCUUCUGAGUCCCUCUCUCAAACCUGCCCCCAUCUCACAGUUUCCCACUCCCCUGCUGCUCAGGAUACUUCAGUGGGAAAGUUUAAACAAAACACACUAAGACAGUGUUUUCCAAACAGUGGGUCAUGACCCAUUAGUGGACUGUGAAAAUAAAUUUAGUAGAUCACAACCAACAUUAAAAAAUAAAAAAAAGAAAUAGGAGCUGGGUGCAGUGGUGUGUGCCUGUAGUCUCAGGUACUUGGGAGGCUGAGUGGGGAGGAUUGCUUGAGUCUAGAAGUUCGAGGCUGCAAUGAUCUAUGAUGGUGCUUGUGAAUAGCCACGGAGUCUAGCCUGGGCAACAUAGCAAGACCCUGUAUCUAAAAAAAAAAUAAAAAUAAGAAAAGAAAUAAAAUAGAACAUCUGGAUUGCAAUGAAAUGCAUUCUUUAUUGGAUAUAGUGAUAAAAACUCUUUCAAAGCUGUUGCCCUAAGUGAUAAAUUUUGGUAACUUCUUCCUAUAUAAAAUAAUUAUUUAAAAAAUCCUGAAAAUGAAUAAAACAAAUGUUUUAUGAUGAUUGAUACUAGCCAUAUCUGGUGAUUAACAGGAGUAAUAAGGAAUAACAUGCUCACUCCAACGCUCAUAAGCCUUAUCACCUAGAUAUUUUUUCUUGAAGCAAUCUCCACAUUCUCCAUAGUGGAGACUAUAACUGAUUCAGGGUAUGGUGGAGCAUGUGUGUGUGUGUGUGUGUGUGUGUGUGUGUGUGUAUGUUUGCAUGUGAGUAUGUAAUCUGGCUCCUGUGGAAAGAAAACACAUUGCUGGAAGAUGAAAUCACUGGACAUAAUUCUUUAUUUCAAGCCUUUUCAGUUACACAGCUUCUUUUAAAAGUUUGACAUGCAAAAUUGUUAAAUAUCAAAAUGCAAAUCAUGUAAUUUCUCUUCCAGAUGUCCUGCUUAGCUGCAUAUUUUUUCAGCCUGUGUAUGUAACCCCAAUGCUCAGUAACAUAGCUUUCUGUUCAAAUCAUCUGUUUCUAUGACCUUUGCCUUUAUUGAUUCGUUUUCUUUUUUCCUAUUUUUAAUGUUGCCUUUGAGAUUAAAGUCAUUUUU
rnacentral:lncRNA from 10 species